GCUACGUUCGGUUGGAUACUGUACACACAGACAGCAUACACACCCUGCUACGUUCGGUUGGAUACUGUACACACAGACAGCAUACACACCCUGCUACGUUCGGUUGGAUACUGUACACACAGACAGCAUACACACCCUGCUACGUUCGGUUGGAUACUGUACACACAGACAGCAUACACACCCUGCUACGUUCGGUUGGAUACUGUACACACAGACAGCAUACACACCCUGCUACGUUCGGUUGGAUACUGUACACACAGACAGCAUACACACCCUGCUACGUUCGGUUGGAUACUGUACACACAGACAGCAUACACACCCUGCUACGUUCGGUUGGAUACUGUACACACAGACAGCAUACACACCCUGCUACGUUCGGUUGGAUACUGUACACACAGACAGCA